GACGAACGCUGGCGGCGUGCCUAAUACAUGCAAGUCGAGCGAAGUUUUUCUGGUGCUUGCACUAGAAAAACUUAGCGGCGCACGGGUGAGUAACACGUAAAGAACCUGCCUCAUAGACUGGGACAACUAUUGGAAACGAUAGCUAAUACCGGAUAACAGUAUUUCUCGCAUGAGAGAUAUUUAAAAGUUGGUUCUGCUAACACUAUGAGAUGGCUUUGCGGUGCAUUAGCUAGUUGGUGGGGUAAAGGCCCACCAAGGCGACGAUGCAUAGCCGACCUGAGAGGGUGAUCGGCCACACUGGGACUGAGACACGGCCCAGACUCCUACGGGAGGCAGCAGUAGGGAAUCUUCCGCAAAGGGCGAAAGCCUGACGGAGCAACGCCGCGUGAGUGAAGAAGGAUUUCGGUUCGUAAAGCUCUGUUGUUAGGGAAGAAUGGAUAUGUAGUAACUAUACAUGUAAGAGACGGUACCUAACCAGAAAGCCACGGCUAACUACGUG
rnacentral:rRNA from 1 species